AUUGAACGCUGGCGGCAGGCCUAACACAUGCAAGUCGAGCGGAGCGGCGGACGGGUGAGUAAUGCCUAUGUAUCUGCCUGGUCGUGGGGGAUAACGUCCGUAAACGGGCGCUAAUACCGCAUACUCUCAGAUGAGCCUAGGUCGGAUUAGCUAUUUGGUGGGGUAAAGGCCUACCAAGGCGACGAUCCGUAACUGGUCUGAGAGUAUGAGCAGUCACACUGGAACUGAGACACGGUCCAGAAUCCUACGGGAGGCAGCAGUGGGGAAUAUUGGACAAUGGGCGAAAGCCUGAUGCAGCCAUGCCGCGUGUAUGAAGAAGGUCUUAGGGUUGUAAAGCACUUUAAGUUGGGAGGCGUUACCAACAGAAUAAGCACCGGCUAACUUCGUGCCAGCAGCCGCGGUAAUAC
rnacentral:rRNA from 1 species